GGGUUGUGAGGUUAAGCGACUAAGCGUACACGGUGGAUGCCCUGGCAGUCAGAGGCGAUGAAGGACGUGCUAAUCUGCGAAAAGCGUCGGUAAGGUGAUAUGAACCGUUAUAACCGGCGAUGUCCGAAUGGGGAAACCCAGUGCAAUUCGUUGCACUAUCGUUAACUGAAUACAUAGGUUAACGAGGCGAACCGGGGGAACUGAAACAUCUAAGUACCCCGAG
rnacentral:rRNA from 1 species